UCACGUAAUACAGUCACGGACGUUUUUCUUAUCAGCUGGUCUGUGUACUGUGGGAGGUAGACUAGCAAUAGGCAGCACUCGGCUUGUCACUUAAAUUAAAAAACAUUUCCUCAAACCAAUCACAACUGUUUUGCUAGUCAUUCGGUCAUGUCCCACUUGUUCUAACUGUUAGACCAGACCUGUUACAUGCAUUAUUAGAUCCAACGCAAAACGGUUUAUUUAGUGUUAGAGUGUGUUUAGAAUAGUAGACACCGUACCGAGAAAAUUUAAAAAAGUGCUGAAAUUUUUAGGGUCGAGAAUUUUUUGUAAAAAAGUGCUGAACAUUUUUACGUUCUGACAUUUUUUGUUACAGUGUUUCUAUUAUCUUUGUUUAGCUGCUUUUUUGGUAUCUUCUCUUCUUCUUUUCCUCAGUAGAUUUGGAUAGAGCAGUCUCAGCCAUUCGUAAGCCAGGAGGAGAUACGAGACGAAGAAGAGGGUGACGAAGGAGAGGAGAAUUCGAUUGAAAGGAAAAUCGAUCUAUCAGCUGUGGCGAUCACAUCUGUGAAGGAGAGGAGAAAACCUCCGUUGAAGGAGGAGGAGGCAAAAUGCGAGAUAAAGAAGGCAGAGAGAAAAGGACUGAUAGCUCAGUAUUUGACGUAAUUAAAGUGUGAACUCUAUCCCGUCCUGAUGAAGGAUAGAAAUGCUUUUGUUCUACAUAAAAAAGACUCUGAUGAGUUAUCUUGCUUUCCUCAGUUCUAACUAUCAUCUAGGAUACAGCAAUUUUAAGGUAGGACAUAAAAUUAAACAGUUACUCCUAAUCUUGAAAACAUUUAUAGAAAUAGAAUGUUCAAUUUUAAUAUUAUUCCCCAGUUUUUUUUUUCAUUUUAAUAAUAGCCUCUCCCUCUUUAAUGGGCCCUUUUUCAUCUCCACACACUGUUACUGAACAUCUAAUUGGGAGGAACGAUUGGUUAAAAAAUGCAUCAAACUGAUUUUUGCCAAUCCCGGGAUCAGUCCCGGGAUCCCGGGAUUGAUAUUGGAUAAUCCCGAAAUACCGGGAUUGGAAAUCAGUCCCGGGAUUGACAUCCCUACUCCCCACUGAUGUAUCAUCACC